rnacentral:piRNA from 1 species
UUAUAUUCCUGAGGACCUGGUGUGGC